rnacentral:rRNA from 1 species
GAUGAACGCUAGCGGCAGGCCUAAUACGUGCAAGUCGGACGGGAUUGGAGAGCUUGCUUUCCAUGAGAGUGGCGCACGGGUGCGUAACACGUAUGCAACCUACCUUUACCAGGGGGAUAGCCUCUCGAAAGAGAGAUUAACACCGCAUAAAAUUAGUUUAUGGCAUCAUAAAUUGAUCAAAUAUUUAUAGGGUAAAGAUGGGCAUGCGGAACAUUAGCUAGUUGGUAAGGUAACGGCUUACCAAGGCGACGAUGUUUAGGGGAUCUGAGAGGAUGACCCCCCACACUGGUACUGAGACACGGACCAGACUCCUACGGGAGGAAGCAGUAAGGAAUAUUGGUCAAUGGGCGCAAGCCUGAACCAGCCAUGCCGCGUGCAGGAAGACGGCCCUACGGGUUGUAAACUGCUUUUGUACGGGAAUAAACCCUGAUACGUGUAUCAGGCUGAAUGUACCGUAAGAAUAAGGAUCGGCUAACUCCGUGCCAGCCGCCGCGGUAA